CGGCGGAUGGGUGAGUAACACGUGGGCAAUCUGCCCUAAAGACUGGGAUACCACUUGGAAACAGGUGCUAAUACCGGAUAACAACAUGAAUCGCAUGAUUCAAGUUUGAAAGGCGGCGCAAGCUGUCACUUUAGGAUGAGCCCGCGGCGCAUUAGCUAGUUGGUGGGGUAAAGGCCUACCAAGGCAAUGAUGCGUAGCCGAGUU
rnacentral:rRNA from 1 species